AUGCUCACUUCGGCAGCACAUAUACUAAAAUUGGAAAGAUACAGAGAAGAUUAGCAUGGCCCCUGCGCAAGGAUGAUACGCAAAUUCAUGAAGCAUUCCAUAUUUAA
ensembl:snRNA U6 U6 spliceosomal RNA